AUCGACUGUCGAGUGGUUUAGGUAGUUUCAUGUUGUUGGGGUCCAUUUCUAACUCUGCAACACGAAACUGCCUUAAUUGCCACAGUUACA
rfam:Oryzias latipes DNA, chromosome11, strain: Hd-rR.